rnacentral:rRNA from 1 species
AGAGUUUGAUCCUGGCUCAGAUUGAACGCUGGCGGCAGGCUUAACACAUGCAAGUCGAGCGGAUGAAGGUAGCUUGCUACCGGAUUCAGCGGCGGACGGGUGAGUAAUGCUUAGGAAUCUGCCUAUUAGUGGGGGACAACGUUCCGAAAGGAGCGCUAAUACCGCAUACGUCCUACGGGAGAAAGCAGGGGACCUUUGGGCCUUGCGCUAAUAGAUGAGCCUAAGUCGGAUUAGCUAGUUGGUAGGGUAAAGGCCUACCAAGGCGACGAUCUGUAGCGGGUCUGAGAGGAUGAUCCGCCACACUGGGACUGAGACACGGCCCAGACUCCUACGGGAGGCAGCAGUGGGGAAUAUUGGACAAUGGGGGGAACCCUGAUCCAGCCAUGCCGCGUGUGUGAAGAAGGCCUUUUGGUUGUAAAGCACUUUAAGCGAGGAGGAGGCUACCUAGAUUAAUACUUUAGGAUAGUGGACGUUACUCGCAGAAUAAGCACCGGCUAACUCUGUGCCAGCAGCCGCGGUAAUACAGAGGGUGCGAGCGUUAAUCGGAUUUACUGGGCGUAAAGCGUGCGUAGGCGGCCAAUUAAGUCAAAUGUGAAAUCCCCGAGCUUAACUUGGGAAUUGCAUUCGAUACUGGUUGGCUAGAGUAUGGGAGAGGAUGGUAGAAUUCCAGGUGUAGCGGUGAAAUGCGUAGAGAUCUGGAGGAAUACCGAUGGCGAAGGCAGCCAUCUGGCCUAAUACUGACGCUGAGGUACGAAAGCAUGGGGAGCAAACC